UUAGAUAUUAUCAAGAUUAGGGAGAAAUUGAGAGCCCAAACCAAUGCUAGAACCUGAAUUUUCAACCAUCUAAGCUUGAACAUCAAAAGGCGUGAAGGAAGAAAGCACGAACACUAAUAGGGCGGAAGGUGUACAAGACCGAGGUAAAUCCUCGACUUAGACGAUUGGACGGCUUGGAACGUGCACACUUGGUUUACGCCCGCCUCACGCUUCCGUUAUAAAUUACUUUUGAAAUGGGUCAAUUUUGUGGUCGUAUGUACUUUAAGUCCAUGUAGUAUGUUGUUGUCUUGUCGUAGGGUAAAAACUUAGUAGUUGUAGUCAUAUUGGGUCUAAUGUACGCUUUGCCCGUUUAGGGAAUUGUCAAGAUGGUUAGACUUUGAA